rnacentral:rRNA from 1 species
GACGAACGCUGGCGGCGUGCCUAAUACAUGCAAGUCGAACGGUUUAGUUCCAAGAGGCUUGCCUUUUGGAACUAGACAGUGGCGGACGGGCGAGUAACACGUAGGCUACCUACGUGUCAAACCGGGAUAACCGCGCGAAACCGAAGCUAAACCCGAAUAAGCUCCUUUUUCGCAUUCAGGGGGCGUGAUAACGGACGACCCGAUGUCAGAUGGGCUAGCGGCUCAUUUGAUGGCAGGUAGGGGAACGGCCUCGCUAGGCGAUGGUGCGUAGCCGAGCUGAGAGGGCGUACGGCCACACCUGGACUGCGAUACGGCCCAGUCUGCUACGGGACGGAGCAGUAUGGAAUCCUCUGCGCGGGACGAUGGCCUGACCGAGCCACGCGGCGGGAGUGGGGAUUGCCUUCGGGAUGUAAAUCUCUGUUGUAUGGGAAGAAGGGAAAGGGUAGGUUCCUGAGGUGACGGUACCAAACGAGAAAGCCCCGGCUAACUACGUG